rnacentral:rRNA from 1 species
GACGAACGCUGGCGGCGUGCCUAAUACAUGCAAGUAGAACGCUGAAGGAGGAGCUUGCUUCUCCGGAUGAGUUGCGAACGGGUGAGUAACGCGUAGGUAACCUGCCUGGUAGCGGGGGAUAACUAUUGGAAACGAUAGCUAAUACCGCAUAACAGUAGAUGCUGCAUGACAUUUGCUUAAAAGGUGCAAUUGCAUCACUACCAGAUGGACCUGCGUUGUAUUGGCUAGUUGGUGAGGUAACGGCUCACCAAGGCGGCGAUACAUGGCCGACCUGAGAGGGGGGUCAGCCACACUGGGACUGAGACACGGCCCAGACUCCUUCAGGAGGCAGCAAUAGUGAAUCUUCAGCCAUGGGCGGAAGACUGACCGCGCAACGCCGCGUGAGUGAAGAAGGUUGUCGGAUCGUAAAGCUCUGUUGUAAGGGAAGAACGAGUGUGAGAGUGGGAAGUUCACACUGUGACGGUAUCUUACCAGAAAGGGACGGCUAACUACGUG